rnacentral:pre_miRNA from 9 species
CUUUUAUAGCGUAAAAGUUAAUUCAAAUUUGUAUGUAGUUAGAAAGUUUGCCUACGUUUGCCUCUAGGGUCGCUGACCUAACUGCAUACAAAAUUGAGUUAACUUUUACGCUAUCGA